CUUGUUCAUGGUAUGUAGUAGACUACUAUCUACAAUUGAAGUGGACCACGAUGAAAAAGGUAUUCAGAUAGAAUUAAAGACAAAAACACAUUGGCUAGAUGAUAAGGCUGAUUCUGAGCCCAGGAGCACCCGGUAGUUAAUGGUUAAGAGUGGGUAUCAAAGUAAUAAACAGAAACUGUGGGGGCGAAUUAGAGAAAUAUGGGGAGAAAUGAAGGGUAUAGUUGCAAUGGUGGCAUUUCAGUUUAUAUUGGCAGGAAUGUUCAUCUUGUUGAAGCUAACGGCCGCUGAUGGUACGAACCUCAAAGUCCUUGUCGCUUAUCGUCUCUCCUUCGCUACUCUUUUCAUUCUUCCCCUCACCCUCGUCUCCAAAAGGAUGAAAC